UGUCUGCAGCGAAGGCGAGCUGUCUGGAAGUUUCCACUCCUCCCUGCUAAAAAUAUUGUUUCAUCAUGACUGUAACAUUGUUGGAUCUUAAAGACAACAACUGGCCCAAAAGCAUCAUGGUCUAAUGGCAUCUUGAAGCUGGAUCUUUGGCUGAUGUGACGGGAUCCAGAAUCUAGAAAUCAACCCAUGCUGGAAUAUGUAUACAUGUAAGAUACUAAGACAUGGUGUGUUCCUAGCUUGGCUCCCACUAGCCUGUUUUCUUCUGAAAUGUUUCUUUUAAAAUGCUUGUUUCUAUCCUGAUAAAAAUGGUUGUAGAGAUCAUAUACUGAUGUAUGAUGCCAUAGAUAUUAAAUUUGUUCGUCAUUAACAA